rnacentral:rRNA from 1 species
GGACGAACGCUGGCGGCGUGCUUAACACAUGCAAGUCGAGCGGUAAGGCCCUUCGGGGUCCACGAGCGGCGAACGGGUGAGUAACACGUGAGUAAUCUGCCCAUCACUUCGGGAUAACUCCGGGAAACCGGUGCUAAUACCGAAUAUGACCACUUCAGGCAUCUGAUGGUGGUGGAAAGUUCCGGCGGUGAUGGAUGAGCUCGCGGCCUAUCAGCUUGUUGGUGGGGUAGUGGCCUACCAAGGCUUCGACGGGUAGCCGGCCUGAGAGGGUGACCGGCCACACUGGGACUGAGACACGGCCCAGACUCCUACGGGAGGCAGCAGUGGGGAAUAUUGGACAAUGGGCGAAAGCCUGAUCCAGCAACGCCGCGUGAGGGAUGACGGCCUUCGGGUUGUAAACCUCUUUCAGCAGGGACGAAGCGCAAGUGACGGUACCUGCAGAAGAAGCACCGGCCAACUACGUG